AUUGAACGCUGGCGGCAUGCUUUACACAUGCAAGUCGAACGGUAGCGCGGGCUUCGGCCUGGCGUCGAGUGGCGACGGGGUGAGUAAUGCUAAGGAACGUGCCAAGUAGUGGGGGAUAGGUCGGCGAACGGGGGAUUAAUACCGAUAACGCACUGCGGGUGAAAGCGGGGGGCCGAAAGCCUCAGGGCUAUUGGCACGGCCUAUGCCGGAUUAGCUAGUUGGUGGGGUAAAGGCUUACCAAGGCGACGAUCCGUAGCUGGUCUGAGAGGACGACCAGCCACACUGGAACUGAGACACGGCCCAGACUCCUACGGGAGGCAGCAGUGGGGAAUUUUGGACAAUGGGGGCAACCCUGAUCCAGCCAUGCCGCGUGCGUGAAGAAGGCCUUCGGGUUGUAAAGCACUUUUAGUCGGGAGGAAGGGCACUAAGCUAAUACCCUGGGGUGAUGACGUUACCAGAAGAAUAAGCACCGGCUAACUCCGUG
rnacentral:rRNA from 1 species